GAUGAACGCUGGCGGCGUGCCUAAUACAUGCAAGUCGAGCGAACAGACGAGGAGCUUGCUCCUCUGACGUUAGCGGCGGACGGGUGAGUAACACGUGGAUAACCUACCUAUAAGACUGGGAUAACUUCGGGAAACCGGAGCUAAUACCGGAUAUUAUAUUGAACCGCAUGGUUCAAUAGUGAAAGACGGUUUUGCUGUCACUUAUAGAUGGAUCCGCGCCGCAUUAGCUAGUUGGUAAGGUAACGGCUUACCAAGGCAACGAUGCGUAGCCGACCUGAGAGGGGGGUGGGCGACCUUGGAACUGAGACACGGUCCAGACUCCUACGGGAGGCAGCAGUAGGGAAUCGUCCGCAAUGGGCGAAAGCCUGACGGAGCAACGCCGCGUGAGUGAUGAAGGUCUUCGGAUCGUAAAACUCUGUUAUUGGGGAAGAACAAAUGUGUAAGUAACUAUGCACGUCUUGACGGUACCUAAUCAGAAAGCCACGGCUAACUACGUG
rnacentral:rRNA from 1 species